GCAAGUCGAACGGCAGCGCGGGGCAACCUGGCGGCGAGUGGCGAACGGGUGAGUAAUAUAUCGGAACGUGCCCUGGAGUGGGGGAUAACGCAGCGAAAGUUGCGCUAAUACCGCAUACGAUCUAAGGAUGAAAGCGGGGGAUUCGCAAGAACCUCGUGCUCCUGGAGCGGCCGAUAUCUGAUUAGCUAGUUGGUGGGGUAAAGGCCUACCAAGGCAUCGAUCAGUAGCUGGUCUGAGAGGACGACCAGCCACACUGGAACUGAGACACGGUCCAGACUCCUACGGGAGGCAGCAGUGGGGAAUUUUGGACAAUGGGCGCAAGCCUGAUCCAGCAAUGCCGCGUGAGUGAAGAAGGCCUUCGGGUUGUAAAGCUCUUUUGUCAGGGAAGAAACGGUGCGGGCUAAUAUCCUGCACUAAUGACGGUACCUGAAGAAUAAGCACCGGCUAACUACGUGCCAGCAGCCGCGGUAAUACGUAGGGUGCAAGCGUUAAUCGGAAUUACUGGGCGUAAAGCGUGCGCAGGCGGUUUUGUAAGUUUGUCGUGAAAUCCCCGGGCUCAACCUGGGAAUUGCGAUGAAGACUGCAAGGCUAGAAUCUGGCAGAGGGGGGUAGAAUUCCACGUGUAGCAGUGAAAUGCGUAGAGAUGUGGAGGAACACCGAUGGCGAAGGCAGCCCCCUGGGUCAAGAUUGACGCUCAUGCACGAAAGCGUGGGGAGCAAACAGGAUUAGAUACCCUGGUAGUCCACGCCCUAAACGAUGUCUACUAGUUGUCGGGUUUUAAUUAACUUGGUAACGCAGCUAACGCGUGAAGUAGACCGCCUGGGGAGUACGGUCGCAAGANUAAAACUCAAAGGAAUUGACGGGGACCCGCACAAGCGGUGGAUGAUGUGGAUUAAUUCGAUGCAACGCGAAAAA
rnacentral:rRNA from 1 species